UACGGAGGGGGCUAGCGUUGUUCGGAAUUACUGGGCGUAAAGCGCGCGUAGGCGGACCUGCAAGUCGGGGGUGAAAGCCCGAGGCUCAACCUCGGAACUGCCUUCGAUACUGCGGGUCUCGAGUCCGGGAGAGGUGAGUGGAAUUCCUAGUGUAGAGGUGAAAUUCGUAGAUAUUAGGAAGAACACCAGUGGCGAAGGCGGCUCACUGGCCCGGUACUGACGCUGAGGCGCGAAAGCGUGGGGAGCA
rnacentral:rRNA from 1 species